GUUGUUUUCCAAGUUGAUUUCCUAUGAUGAGUUUAUGUACAUAAUUUCUUGGCUAGUAGUUUCGAUCAUAUGUGAUGCCGUGUUUCUUGGAAACUGCUUGUGUGAAAAUUGUAAUUACACUUAUGCUCUAGAGAUAAGACUUAGACUAACUUAUUUCUUGAGUCCUUGCGUUGAGUCGGGCGUAGAGUUUGGAUUAUUCCCUUUUUGAACUUAGAGUUUGUAAAUCUUAAGUUUGGGGGAGUUAAGGGAUAAGUAUGCCUUUCUAAAAAAAAAAAGAGAAAAAAAAAGAAUAAAAAUUAUCAUGUACUCCUUUGAGAUCAAUGGGUAAAAUGCAAUGUCAUGUGAAAAGGACGAUCCAUGUACUUGUGCUGGUAUUAAGUGCAAAUGUAUUAGAAUAAGCAUUUUCUUGGUGACUUUUCACAACCCUUGAUUACUGGAGAAAUACUUGAUUAAGAAAAAGAAAAAAAAAAUAAGCGAAGUCGAAUGGCGGUCGUGACUCACUUACACUGAGAAGCGUCCCAACCUUAGACUUAGCAAGUAAAAGAAAAAAAAAUAGAAAAAAAUAGGAGAGGCAUAGGAAUUCUGUAAUGACCCUAAAUUGUAGUUGACUCUUUAGUAAAGAAGUGUUUAAGCCUGAUUCUGAUUAACGGCUCAUAGUGAGGACUCUGUUGAAGUUUGAUAGUCUUUGUUUUGUUUCACUAGAGAGCAUGCUAGCACACACGAUGCACUUCACACUUGUAGUGGAAGAGAACAUGGCUAAUAUGUGAACGAGAUGAACACCGAGAAUGUUGCAUAUUCUGAGGAUGUUAUGUUGACAAAUAUUAUACUUCAUGAUUCGAGUAGACGUAGGCAUAUAGUUGCAUUCAUGCAUUGCAUUAGUAGUUUGUGUGUGUGUCUAUGCUUGAGGACAAGCAUCGGUUUAAGUUUGGGGGUGUGAUAAGUGGAUUUUAUAUCCACUUGGAAUGCCUUCGUUUCGACUUAAAUUGAUGAUUUGGCCUCAAGUAUGUGGUGUUUUUGAUGUGUUUUUGUGGUGUUGUGUAGGUUCCCUAGGAGGAGGAUAAAGGGUGGAUUCGAAGCUAAAAGGUGGAAGAAACGGCGCAAAGAUCGAGCGAGCAAGGAAGGAGAAAAGGGAAGAAAGGUUCCAAAAGCAUUCGGGGCUGCCCAAAUGGGGUCUCCACCCCAUUUACGGGGUCUCCACCCCGUUCUGAAGGAGAAAAAUCUGCCAAGAUGGGGUCUCCACCCCACUGACGGGGUCUCCACCCCACUUCAUCAGAAUAGAGGCUGCCCUGACGGGGUCUCCACCCCACUGAUGGGGUCUCCACCCCACUGACGGGGUCUCCACCCCACUGACGGGGUCUCCACCCCAUGCUGUUGGGAGAAAAAGCCCGAAUUGCCUAUUCUUGAUCCGUUUGAAGGCCCGAUCGCUGUGGGACUUAAACAAAAGCUCAAGGGAAAAGUCUAACAACCUAGAAUCAUUCCAAGGAGCACGUGACGGCUACAAAGAAGAUCUAGUUCAUAAUUUCAUCUUUGUAAUUCUUCGAAGUAGGCGUAACUUUGGAUGCUCAUUCGGAUUUGUUUCGAAACUCUUGUUUUACUCUUUUAAUAUUGUUUAGACUAUUCCGUACCAUGUUUACAUUCGAACCCAUGAUGAUGAGAAGUUCGAUUAUGAACUAAUCAUUAUCGUGGGAUUCUAGCGGAUUUAUAUAUGGAUUUCAGUAGUUGAUUUGCCUUAA